ACGAACGCUGGCGGCGCGCCUAAUGCAUGCAAGUCGAACGGUCCCUCCCGCAAGGGAGGGACAGUGGCGAACGGCUGAGUAACGCGUAAGCAACCUACCCCUGGGUGGGGAAUAACUCGCCGAAAGGCGGGAUAAUACCGCAUGUGCUAUCGUGCCACAAGGCACGACCGCAAAGGCCGCAAGGCCGCCCGGGGAUGGGCUUGCAUCCUAUCAGGUAGUUGGUGAGGUAACGGCCCACCAAGCCGAUGACGGGUAGCUGGUCUGAGAGGACGGCCAGCCAGAGGGGGACUGAGACACGGCCCCCACUCCUACGGGAGGCAGCAGCAGGGAAUCUUGCGCAAUGGGCGAAAGCCUGACGCAGCGACGCCGCGUGGGGGAAGAAGGCCUUCGGGUCGUAAACCCCUUUUCUGGGGGAAGAGUAAGGACGGUACCCCAGGAAUAAGCCUCGGCUAACUACGU
rnacentral:rRNA from 1 species